UACGAAGGGGGCUAGCGUUGCUCGGAAUCACUGGGCGUAAAGGGUGCGUAGGCGGGUCUUCAAGUCGGUUGUGAAAUCCCUCAGCUCAACUGAGGAACUGCAUCCGAUACUGUUUGUCUUGAGGACGAGAGGGGAGAGUGGAACUUCUGGUGGAGCGGUGAAAUGCGCAGAUAUCAGGAGGAACACCAGUGGCGAAGGCGGCGACCUGGGCCAAUACUGACGCUGAGGUGCGAAAGCGUGGGGAGCAAACAGG
rnacentral:rRNA from 1 species